UUUGAUUUUUAAACCACAGCAUAGGCUACGUGUUCAUCAUCUUACAUCUUGUUCAAAACCUCUGUGCUAUGGCACUUACUCCAGCCCUAACAGUUCUCUUCGUUGUCAUAUAUGCUGUAUGUUGUCAGUUAGAAGAUGUAAUUAUUGAUCGCUACUUUAUACCAGCGUUCUGUCCAAGAGAGGUUCAGAUCGGAGACUAUGUUCGGUAUGACUAUAACGGAACAUUUAAGGACGGGCGGAAGUUCGAUUCUAGCCUGAAUAAGGGUUUUCCAUUCAUUGGGCAGGUGGGUGUGGAAUCAAAAGUCAUCCCAGGUUUGGAUAAAGGAGUUCAGGGCAUGUGUGUUAAUGAGCGAAGGAAGAUCACUGUACCUCCUCACCUUGCUUAUGGAGUCUUGGGAUCUGGUUCAGUGAUUCCACCUGAAACAACAUUGGUGUUUGAUGUGCAUUUGCUGGAUUUGUGGAAUAAAGAAGAUAAAGUUCAAAUCCGUACGAUUUACAGACAGCAGAAGUGCAAGCGGAAAGUGAUGCCUACUGACUUUGUUCGUUAUCAUUACAAUGGUUCUUUGUUGGUGGGAAACAUUUUUGAGUCCAGCUAUCUUCAAAACACAACAUACGACACAUAUGUUGGGUCAGGCAGUCUCAUCAAAGGCAUAGAGGAAGGCAUUACUGGCAUGUGUGUGGGAGAGAGAAGAUCAAUUAUUAUUCCACCAUUCUUGGCUUAUGGUGAUAAAGGAUAUGGUACAAAGAUCCCACCAUAUGCAACUGUGAUUUUUGAUGUAUUACUAGUGGAUUUGUUUAAUGUAAAGGAUGAUAUUAAUGUGGAGGUUCAAAUGAUACCACAGCCAUGCAGGAGAAAGGCAGUGUUGGGAGAUUUCAUACGUUAUCAUUAUAAUGCAACAUUUCAAGAUGGCACUAUCUUCGAUUCCAGUUAUGCUCGAAACAGCACUUACAACACAUUUAUUGGUAUGGGCCAUGUGAUUGCUGGCAUAGACAAAGCCCUCCAAGGUGUUUGUGUGGGUGAGUGGAGACGAGUCACUGUGCCGCCUCAUUUGGCCUAUGGAGAGACUGGAUCAGGUGAGCUAAUUCCUGGAUCUGCUGUGCUCAUCUUUGACAUGCACAUAAUUGACUUUCACAACCCUAAAGACCAAGUGCACAUCAAUGUGACUAACAAGCCAGCUGCUUGCAACCUGACAAGUGAUGCAAAUGAUCUGAUUUUGUAUCGCUAUAACUGCUCUUUGUUGGAUGGCACACGUCUCUACUCUUCAGAUGACUACCCAGAACCACCACGUGUCAUAUUAGGUCAAGGAAAGCUGAUAUCUGGCCUGGAUGAAGGUUUGCAUGGCAUGUGUGUAUUAGAGAGGAGAGAGAUCACUGUGCCACCACAUCUUGCACAUGGUGCCAACGACGCAAUGGGCAUACCCACCAGUGCAGUGUUGCUGUUUGAGGUAGAACUGUUACAACUGCAAAAAGGUGUUCCUGAGGGCUUUUUGUUCAUCUGGCUACAUGACAGUCCUGAGCCGUUGUUUCCUGCCAUGGAUAUGAACCAAGACCACAAAGUUUUACUAGAAGAGUUUGCAGCAUUCAUUAUGUUACAGGUGGCUGAAGGCAGAGGCCGCAUCCAUCCAGGAAUAGACAGUGACAAAGCCCUAAAAGAAAUGUUCAGAAAUCAAGAUCGCAAUACAGAUGGAAAGAUAACUGAAGAUGAACUGAACAUCAUAGUAAAUGAAGAAAAGGAAGUGGUUACACAUAUGGAGUUGUGAGUGAGAACAACCAGAAAAUAAGAUUGUUGUCUAUUUACAAUUACACUAACGUUAAUGGGGAAAAGAUCAGUCAAGUCAACACUUGUCAAGUGUCCACACAGGGAAGUUUCUGACCUCCAGGGGUUGACGGCGCUCCAUCACUCAUGUAUCGGGCAAACCUCAUGCUUUAAUCGGCCUGGACAUUAUUGAGACAUGCCCCUGCCUUCGAUGACUAGAUAAUAAAUGUGUUAUAAAAUAAAGUUUUAACCGUUUUUCAUGCGAGAAUGUAGUUGUUUUAAACUCAUGUCUGUGGUUUAUUUAUUAAGAUAAUGUGUAUUUUAAUAUGUUGUUUUGAAAAUGCGGAGAUAUGUGACCUCUACGGUGGCCCAUAUGGUUGCCCAAUAUUCUUGAAUCCGUCUAAAGCAGGUUGGUCACUCUGAAAUUUAAGCUGACAUUGAAAUCAUUUUGUGUGUUUAACAGUCUUUGGUUACGUGAAUCAAUUAUUUUUGUUCCAAUUUACGUUUUGGUUUA